AGUAAUGCAUAGGAAUUUGCCUUGAAGUGGGGGAUAGCCCGGAGAAAUCCGGAUUAAUACCGCAUAUGCUCUACGGAGCAAAGUGGGCCUCUGAUUUAAGCUCAUGCUUUGAGAUAAGCCUAUGUCGGAUUAGCUUGUUGGUAGGGUAAAAGCCUACCAAGGCGACGAUCCGUAGCUGGUUUGAGAGGAUGAUCAGCCACACUGGGACUGAGACACGGCCCAG
rnacentral:rRNA from 1 species